GCACCCGCGGCGGCGGCGUGGGGACGGGCGGAGGCGGGGGGCGGGCGGAGGCAGGACGAGCCGACGCCCCCCCCCCCUCCCCCGCAGCCCCCCGCUGUCCCCUCCCCGCCGCCGCCCCCGCCGCGCGCCCCGGCGGAGCGACGCGGGGAGUCCUCGGCCCGGGAGGGGAAGGGCGCGUCGCCGGGGGGCGCGGCCGGCGGCCUCCAGCCGGGGGCUGUCCUCGCCAAGACCCCAGAACCCGUGGCGGCACGAAGCGUGGUAAAGUUUGCGCAAGCUCAUCCCGAAUUGGCGGGUGAAGGGUUUCCAGGAGUCUGAAGCUUCGCCUUGUAUCGACGGGAAGGCAAAAGCAGCCGCGGACUGCCGGCGUUCUGCCGGCCUGCUCCAGCGCCGGGGAACGGAGGGAACGGCAACCUGCGCUGCUGCAUGACCUUGUGCCUUCUAACACCAUGCACGGCAGGUUGCUUUCAUGAGCAAUAGGGCUGCUCGUCGCUGAUCUAUACGGGAUCAGCAAAGUUAUGCUCUCUUUUAAACAAAUAAGCCUCCCCCCUCUCUCAAGAGCACUCAAGAACACUUGUGUUAUGAAGAACCAGCUUGGGUGAGAAUGGCAGAAUCACCACAGCAUGCUUGUUCUUGGAAGGCACCCUAUAAAGAGUAGGCCAGGUCCCAACAGGACAGUCAGUUCUGGUGGGAAGGCAACCAGUCCAGCACAAGCACGGCACAUCUUUCAGCUGUAUCAGAAAGACACCACUGUCUUAUGCCAAGAAGAAUUUUACGUUUCAGUCCUAGCUCAGUUCAAAGAGCCCCCUGGACACAGCCACAGGUGCCAUCAGGCUGCUGGCAGGUUGGGGUGGUGUCAGCCAGGGGUAGGAUGGAGCAGGCCCCAGCAGCUCUUCCCAGACAAAAUGGCGGCUCAGCCACCACUUCCUCCUGGCCGUUCUCCUCAGAGGCCUUCACCAGCUUCAGCCGCCGCACUGCAGCAUGAAGCGUGAACGCACAGCAAAGUGGCCUGAAACAUUACAGCAUAUAAAUGUUGAAACUCUUCAUUAAAAGUCACGGGAGGCCAAGCCUGGCUAUAAAACCCACUGAAGAACAGUGCCAACACAUUUCAUGCUGGUCUCCAUUUGGACUCAUCCCAACGCUCACAGGGAGCACAAUUUAAAGGAACACAUAGAUUGCUGACUGCAUUUGCAAAUGGGAAAAAAAAACCAAUCUCCUUCUAACUAAAUGCAGUUGGAAUAUAUAUAUAUAUAUAUGUUUUCUGGAAAUACUGGAGUAAUUAGAACUCAUGCACCUCAGCAUGACUUCUGGAAGAGCCAUUUUGUCCCCUCUCUAGUGAAAGUGUCACUGCAGAGGAGAGCCUCUCACAUCACAGGGGUCCGUCUGCAAGUCCAGACUGUGGGCUACAAGCUUCCCUGAGAGAAAGAGGCAAACGUGUGUAUUGCACAGAUGCUAUUUAUCCUCAACUCUGCAUUUUGCCUGGGUACAUGCUUGAGAAAAAAACACGGACCAAACUGGUGUCAGACUCCUAAGGAAGACAUCAUUUUUUAAAAUGGCUUCUGCAAUGAAAAUGUGCAAAGGACUACAGCACGUUCUCUCCCUUCAAAGAUCAAACAGGAAGAGUAAAGGCCACAGUUUUUGUUCACUUUGCACAUCUUCUGGAUUCAUCCAUUUUUCAGGAGCGUUAAAUCCCAGCAACCUUCAGCACAGAAGCUAACCUAGACACGAGAAGAAGUGAAG